UACAGAGGUCUCAACCGUUGUUCGGAUUCAUUGGGCGUAAAGGGUGCGUAGGCGGCGGGGUAAGUCAGGUGUGAAAUCUCGGGGCUCAACCCCGAAACUGCACUUGAUACUGCCUCGCUUGAGUACUGGAGAGGAGACUGGAAUUUACGGUGUAGCAGUGAAAUGCGUAGAUAUCGUAAGGAAGACCAGUGGCGAAGGCGGGUCACUGGCCCGGUACUGACGCUGAGGCACGAAAGCGUGGGGAGCAAACAGG
rnacentral:rRNA from 1 species